rnacentral:rRNA from 1 species
UACGUAGGGUGCGAGCGUUGUCCGGAAUUAUUGGGCGUAAAGAGCUUGUAGGCGGUUUGUCGCGUCUGCUGUGAAAUCUCAAGGCUCAACCUUGAGCUUGCAGUGGGUACGGGCAGACUAGAGUGUGGUAGGGGAGACUGGAAUUCCUGGUGUAGCGGUGAAAUGCGUAGAUAUCUGGAGGAACACCGGUGGCGAAGGCGGCAUCCUGGACCGAUAUUGACGCUGAUGCGCGAAAGCCAGGGGAGCAAACGGG